rnacentral:rRNA from 1 species
GUAACGAGCGCAACCCUGUCCUUAGUUACCAGCACGUUAUGGUGGGCACUCUAAGGAGACUGCCGGUGGACAAACCGGAGGAAGGUGGGGGAUGACGUCAAGUCAUCAUGGCCCUUACGGCCUGGGCUACACACGUGCUACAAUGGUCGGUACAAAGGGUUGCCAAGCCGCGAGGUGGAGCUAAUCCCAUAAAACCGAUCGUAGUCCGGAUCGCAGUCUGCAACUCGACUGCGUGAAGUCGGAAUCGCUAGUAAUCGUGAAUCAGAAUGUCACGGUGAAUACGUUCCCGGGCCUU